rnacentral:rRNA from 1 species
UACGUAGGGUGCAAGCGUUGUCCGGAAUUAUUGGGCGUAAAGAGCUCGUAGGCGGUCUGUUGCGUCGGCUGUGAAAACCCGGGGCUCAGCCCCGGGCCUGCAGCCGAUACGGGCAGACUAGAGUUCGGCAGGGGAGACUGGAAUUCCUGGUGUAGCGGUGAAAUGCGCAGAGAUCGGGAGGAACACCAAUGGCGAAAGCAGGUAACUGGACUAUUACUGACACUCAGCUGCGAAAGCUAGGGGAGCAAACAGG